rnacentral:rRNA from 1 species
AGAGUUUGAUCCUGGCUCAGGAUGAACGCUAGCGGCAGGCCUAAUACAUGCAAGUCGAGGGGCAGCGGGAUAGCAAUAUUGCCGGCGACCGGCGCACGGGUGCGUAACGCGUAUGCAACUUACCCUUUACAGGGAGAUAGCCCGGAGAAAUUCGGAUUAAUAUCCCAUAGUAUAUGAGAUUGGCAUCAAUUUUAUAUUAAAGAUUUAUCGGUAAAGGAUGGGCAUGCGUGUCAUUAGCUAGUUGGUGAGGUAAUGGCUCACCAAGGCUACGAUGACUAGGGGUACUGAGAGGUUACACCCCCACACUGGUACUGAGACACGGACCAGACUCCUACGGGAGGCAGCAGUAAGGAAUAUUGGACAAUGGGCGAGAGCCUGAUCCAGCCAUGCCGCGUGCAGGAUGACGGUCCUAUGGAUUGUAAACUGCUUUUGUAUGGGAAUAAUGGCAGAUACGUGUAUUUGUUUGAAUGUACCAUAAGAAUAAGGAUCGGCUAACUCCGUGCCAGCAGCCGCGGUAAUACGGAGGAUCCAAGCGUUAUCCGGAUUUAUUGGGUUUAAAGGGUGCGUAGGCGGGACAGUAAGUCAGUGGUGAAAUCCUAUCGCUUAACGAUAGAAUUGCCAUUGAUACUGCUGACCUUGAGUACAAAUGAUGUGGGCGGAAUGUGCAGUGUAGCGGUGAAAUGCUUAGAUAUUGCACAGAACACCGAUAGCGAAGGCAGCUCACAAAAAUGUAACUGACGCUGAUGCACGAAAGUAUGGGGAUCAAACAGGAUUAGAUACCCUGGUAGUCCAUACAGUAAACGUUGAUAACUCGAUGUGUGCGAUAUACAGUACGCGUCCAAGGGAAACCGAUAAGUUAUCCACCUGGGGAGUACGACCGCAAGGUUGAAACUCAAAGGAAUUGACGGGGGCCCGCACAAGCGGAGGAGCAUGUGGUUUAAUUCGAUGAUACGCGAGGAACCUUACCUGGGCUUGAAAGUUAGUGCCGAAGAGUGAAAGCUUUUUUUCCGCAAGGACACGAAACUAGGUGCUGCAUGGCUGUCGUCAGCUCGUGCCGUGAGGUGUUGGGUUAAGUCCCGCAACGAGCGCAACCCCUACUUCUAGUUGCCAACAGGUAAUGCUGGGGACUCUAGAGGAACUGCCCGCGCAAGCGGAGAGGAAGGUGGGGAUGACGUCAAGUCAGCACGGCCCGUACGUCCAGGGCUACACACGUGCUACAAUGGGUACUACAAAGGGCAGCUACACAGCGAUGUGAUGCAAAUCUCUAAAGGUACUCUCAGUUCGGAUUGGAGUCUGCAACUCGACUCCAUGAAGCUGGAUUCGCUAGUAAUCGUAGAUCAGCAAUGCUACGGUGAAUACGUUCCCGGGCCUUGUACACACCGCCCGUCAAACAAUGGAAGUUGGGGGUACCUAAAGUCGAUAACCGCAAGGAGUCGCCUAGGGUAAAACCGAUAACUGGUGUUAAGUCGUAACAAGGUA